CCUACGGGAGGCAGCAGUGGGGAAUAUUGCACAAUGGGGGAAACCCUGAUGCAGCGACGCCGCGUGAGCGAAGAAGUAGUGCGGGAGGUAAAGCUCGAUCAGCAGGGAAGAAAAUGACGGUACCUGAGGAAGAAGCGCCGGCGAAAGACGUGCCAGCAGCCGCGGUAAGACGUAUGGAGCAAGCGUUAGCCGGAUUUACUGGGCGUACAGGGAGCGUAGGCGGCCUGCCCAGUCUGAUGUGAAAUACCGGGGCGCAACCCCGGGGCUGCAUUGGAAACUGGCAGGCUGGAGUGCCGGAGCGGCAGGCGGCCUUCCUAGUGUAGCGGUUAACUUCGUAGCUAUCACGCAGACCUCCGAUUGCGACGGCAGUUCACUGGACUGCACCUGCCACUGCGGCUCGCACGUGUGCGUAUCAAACAGGAUUCGCUACCCGGGUAGUC
rnacentral:rRNA from 1 species